GCUAACUCCAGGCAAUCGGCCGCGGGAAUACGUAGGUGGGAAGCGUGUUCCGGAUUUAUUGGGCGUGAAGGGAGGGUAGGUGGUUUCUUAAGGUGGAUGUGAAAGCCCACGGCUUAACCGUGGAGGGUCAUUGGAAACUGGUGAACUUGAGUGCAGAAGAGGAAAGCGGAAUUCCAUGUGUAGCGGUGAAAUGCGUAGAUAUAUGGAGGAACACCAGUGGCGAAAGCGGCUUUCUGGUCUGUAACUGACACUGAGGCUCGAAAGCGUGGGGAGCAAACAGGAUUAGAUACCCUUGUAGUC
rnacentral:rRNA from 1 species